UGGGGAUCUCGAUGGAUUACAAUGUGGA
rnacentral:sRNA from 1 species